CUGACGGAUCUCUUUCUGCAUAAAGGGAGAAGAGAGAGUGAGAACACGAACCAGAGACUAACCACAACAGAGAAAAGUUUCCCGUGAGGUGCUGCUCCUUCAUGACAUCCAUGUACGACCUGGACUGCAGCUUUGGGUCCGGCGUUUUGCCCCCUGCGCGAGAGAGCACCAACAAGACACAGGGCAGCCGAUUAGAACACGCCCCAGGACCCGGAUUCAUAAAACACAGAGAUAACAGGCGAGGAUAAAGCCAUCACUGAUGCAGGGGUCCUGGGCUGUGCUCUCCAGAAUACGUACACUUUCAGUGCCAAGGGUCCUUCUGCAGUCAGACUUCAACCGGCAGAAAAGAAGCCUAGAAAAUGUCUCUUUACCAUUAGUAACACUUUGGAAAAGGGUUGGAACUCACACACAUAAGCAUACCACCUGUGAUUUCUUUUUACGUCACUCAAAAGAAAAUUCCUCCUGGGGCUCAAACCUUAAAUAAAUGAAAAUAUGUAAAAUACCCUCUAGAUUGUGAAGUAUUGAUUAAUAAAAUUAAAAUCUAAAUUGUUCCCAAAUCUAGGAAUCUUCUUGUGAGAUAAAUGUGUAGCUACUUUAUGUAACCCAGGGUAGGGAGAGCAUCUAUAUGUAGUUACACGUUUACAUCAGGGGCCGUGAAGCCUACGAUUAGUUCCAGGGGGGGGACAGGCUGCCUGCUACUAAGCAGCUGGUAGUUUGACAUCAGUCGAUUGCUAUUUCAACUUCGUAAACGUAGAUCUUGGCUU